GAUGAACGCUGGCGGCGUGCCUAAUACAUGCAAGUCGAGCGAACAGAUGAGGAGCUUGCUCCUCUGACGUUAGCGGCGGACGGGUGAGUAACACGUGGAUAACCUACCUAUAAGACUGGGAUAACUUCGGGAAACCGGAGCUAAUACCGGAUAAUAUAUUGAACCGCAUGGUUCAUUAGUGAAAGACGGUUUUGCUGUCACUAUUAGAUGGAUCCGCGCCGCAUUAGCUAGUUGGUAAGGUAACGGCUUACCAAGGCAACGAUGCGUAGCCGACCUGAGAGGGUGAUCGGCCACACUGGAACUGAGACACGGUCCAGACUCCUACGGGAGGCAGCAGUAGGGAAUCUUCCGCAAUGGGCGAAAGCCUGACGGAGCAACGCCGCGUGAGUGAUGAAGGUCUUCGGAUCGUAAAACUCUGUUAUUAGGGAAGAACAAAUGUGUAAGUAACUAUGCACGUCUUGACGGUACCUAAUCAGAAAGCCACGGCUAACUACGUG
rnacentral:rRNA from 1 species